AGUGAACGCUGGCGGUAGGCCUAACACAUGCAAGUCGAACGGCAGCACAGUAAGAGCUUGCUCUUACGGGUGGCGAGUGGCGGACGGGUGAGGAAUACAUCGGAAUCUACUUUUUCGUGGGGGAUAACGUAGGGAAACUUACGCUAAUACCGCAUACGACCUACGGGUGAAAGCAGGGGAUCCUCGGACCUUGCGCGAUUGAAUGAGCCGAUGUCGGAUUAGCUAGUUGGCGGGGUAAAGGCCCACCAAGGCGACGAUCCGUAGCUGGUCCGAGAGGAUGAUCAGCCACACUGGAACUGAGACACGGUCCAGACUCCUACGGGAGGCAGCAGUGGGGAAUAUUGGACAAUGGGCGCAAGCCUGAUCCAGCCAUACCGCGUGGGUGAAGAAGGCCUUCGGGUUGUAAAGCCCUUUUGUUGGGAAAGAAAAGCAGCAGGUUAAUACCCCGCUGUUCUGACGGUACCCAAAGAAUAAGCACCGGCUAACUUCGUG
rnacentral:rRNA from 1 species